rnacentral:rRNA from 1 species
UACGUAGGGUGCAAGCGUUAAUCGGAAUUACUGGGCGUAAAGCGUGCGCAGGCGGUUUUGUUAGUCUGUCGUGAAAUCCCCGGGCUUAACCUGGGAAUGGCGAUGGAGACUGCAAGGCUAGAGUUUGGCAGAGGGGGGUAGAAUUCCACGUGUAGCAGUGAAAUGCGUAGAGAUGUGGAGGAACACCGAUGGCGAAGGCAGCCCCCUGGGUCAAAACUGACGCUCAUGCACGAAAGCGUGGGGAGCAAACAGG